AUGGCCAGAUGCCCACCACAUUUCAUCCAUCUUGGGAGUGUGGAAUCCUGCCCAUUGUGCAAGGAAGAUGAUAGCCUCAUGUUCAGAAAAUCUCACACAUGAGCAGAAUACCAAAGAAUGUACAUAUGGAGAGAAUUCACUGUGUACCUACUUCUAAUUUGAUUGUGAUCCCUGUACAAAGUGGUUGUCACCUGAGAUCCCCAUGAACUUAUUAAGUGGCUGUAUCUGGGGCCCUGUCUAAUAUAAAUGUGAGCAGGGCUGCCUGCAUCCCCCUGACCUGUCACCCCUGCCUGAGGUGUGUGCAGAGCCUUGAACAAUGUGAACUUGAUCUGAACACCCACCAUGUCCCCACCUGCUCAGAAGUGUCGAUGACUUCUGCAAUGACGAUGAAUCCCAUCCUCAGGUCCACAACAAAACUGUGAGCAUAAACACUCCUGUUCUGACUUCUCAGCAAAUCGAGUGGCACUGCACUUUACACAUGUGAGCAGGGGCAACCCACCAUGUCCUGACGACCUCAGGUACUGGUGGAGCCUUGUAAUGUGGAAGUGCAGAUUCUCCAGUAGUUGACCAACUCAGAUGUGUGGGUUCUUUACUAAGUCAGGUAAAACAGAGCCCAACAUGUUACACAAGGAGCCAUCACGAAUGGUGCCCUAUCCCAGGAGGACGCAAGAGACUCACCAUUUUCCAACCAAUGCAGGCCCAUAGAAGCUUCUAUAACAUGGCUAUGACCAGUGCCACCUACCAUACCAUUAUCACACCUCCCAAGUUUAGAGCUCCUACUCAAUGGGAAUGUGAACAGAGCACCCCACAUCCUCAGGAGCUCAGUGGUUUAUGAAACUCUAUAUACUGGGAAUGUGAGCAGAGCCUCCUCAUGUGCUGACAACCCCAGGCUUGUGUGGAUCCCUAACAACACUGGCAUUGGCAGCCCAAAAUACGCUGACCACUUCAAGGGGUUGGAGUCCGCUGUUAUAUGGAGGAAGCGAUCUCAGCUUUCUUUUCUAAGUCUGUACCAUUUCAGCCAGUGUUAGAUCCUCUACAACAUGGAUGUGAGCACUGCAACAGUGGUGUGACCACAUUGGGUAUGUGAAUUCCUCAGUAGUGAGAUGACAGAGGAGUACCCCACAUCCGAUCCAUGUUCUACAUGUGUGCAACUGUUUGUAAUGCAGCUGUGAAUCAGAGGCCACAGGUCCUAACCACAUCUCCUGGUUGUGGGCCUCUAAAAAGAGAACAUGGAGCCAUUCCUCAUGUCCUCAUCCUGUCUGGAGGUUGAGGCCCUAUAAAAUGUGUAUGUGAACCGUAACACAAGUCUAUGUGCUGAUGUCCUCAGACCUGUGUUUAGCCUUGUAGGAUGUGGAUGUACCUAGAGCUCCGCAGGUGGUGAACACCAAGACCAUGCAAAGAGCCCUGUACCGCGUGACUGUAAGUAGAACCUCCCAUACCUCAUCCAUGUCCUAACUAUAUCAGGCAUAUACAGAUACCUACAUGAUGUAAGUGACCAGAACCCUACCCUUGUCUUAAGCAUUGUACAUGUGCCAACACCUCUUAUCAUGUCGAUGUAACCAGAGCGUCUUGCUGUCUUGACCAGCUCAUGCUUAUGUGGUACCCUGCACACUGUGAUUGUGAGCAGAGCCUCCCAGAUGUCGUGACAACCUCAGGCAUUGGUGGUGCCCUGACAACAUGAAUGUGAGCACAGCCCUUCCACACACUGACAGGCACCGAUAUGUGUGGUCCUGCUACAAGCUCAUGCCUAUGUGUGGAGCCGUCUUCAACCUGAAUACAGCCAAAGCUCCCAACCUGUGGACCAUGGCAGGUGUGUGUGGAGGAAUCUACUAUGUGAUUGUGGACAGAAGCCCCCAUACACAUCUGGACCUGACUACUGAGGGUCAUGGGAGGAUGCCCAAUGUGUAGACCCAUCUGUGAUUUCAGUACACUCCACCCUAUCGUCAGAGCAGUCGUGUCUGCAGCCUUCUACAACAUGGAUGUGAGCGGAGGCCCUGACCAUCAUCACAUGGACUGGACUUCUUACAACAUGGAAGUGAGCAAUGCUCGCCCAGCCCCAGCUACCUAAGAGACAAGUAAAGGAAAUCCAUACUCAUAUGGGCAAAAUCAACUCAGGACCAGAGUGAGACCAGCUUUCCAGUCACUCAGAUAACACACAGCAAUGCUGAGAAAAGGUCCGAGGUCCUGACUGUGGAGCUUAAAUGGAGGAAACUCCCAAGAGACCAUUUCAGCCACUCAACCAUCUCAGAGCAUAUCGUUCAAGUCUGAACUAGGCUAAUUGUACGGAGUACAUUUGGAAGGUUACCUGAUAAUAGCCCUUUGUUCACUGCCAUCCUGCACAGCCUCGCAGGACUGCUGGGCUGUUGCUCAGAACACUGCCAACCCUCUGAUGCCAGCAAAGGCCUUUAGGUGACGUCUUGUGAAAGGGCUCCAUACUGCAGCCCACAUACCCAGAGGGCAAGUAGACUGAUUACAGAACCUGAAUGGAGAACACAAGCCUGGUUCUGGGGCCAGUGCAGACAUGAGCUGGAUGUGCCAGCCAUAGCUUAUCCAGGAAAACAGGAAAGGACUGAGGCAGGGAGUGGCCAUGUUUGCUGUAGGGAGCUUUUCCUGAGACUUCAGAAUCAAGUGCCUGAAAAUGCAUUUAUCUCUAAAGUUUGAGUAACAUUUGGCUCAGGCACCUUCCCUAACACUCACUCCUCACAGAGACUGAAAACUAUCUCUGCAGAAUGGAAGUCCACACCCUCAAGCUGGUGCCAUUCAGCAGAGCACAACCACACUCAGAGGCAGGCGUGCAGUGACACCAUGGAACUCAAUGUGUGGGUGACCCCUGAGUCACCCGGCACAGCUCUGUGUCACUGGUAAAACAGGCAGACACAACUGGGGCAAAGCUACCUGCUCGAGGUGACUCCCUGUGGGAAUAGGCCUGGCUGAAUCUAAAUCUGGCAACUCCAGAUUUGGUGGACUGGCACCACCAAGUGCCACUCAGACAUCUGCAGUGAAGCACUGGGGCAACUUCAUAUGGCAAAGCCUCCCUACCCUGAGCAGGACAGGGUCGAAACUGCUGCUUUUACUGAAAAGUACAUUUAAGUCUUGAAGGCUAAACAGGGUUCCUCAUACUAUUGAAAUUAGAAAUGCAUCCAAAUGAGAUAAAUGACAAUGAGAAAAAGGAAGAAAAUGGUAGAGGUGUAGGGAAACUGGGAAGG